rnacentral:misc_RNA from 1 species
AACGAGGCCGACCUGCGGCUGAGUUACCUGCGGAGGGAUCAUUAAUGAUUGACCGAAAGGUCUUUACAACGAUAUCCCACACCUCUGUGAACCGUUUGACCCUCGGGUCUUACAAACAAACAAACAUCAGUGUAACGAACGUCUUGUUAAUCUUAACAUAAACAAAACUUUCAGCAAUGGAUCU